GCAUUGGUAGUUCAGUGGUAGAAUUUUUACCUUCCAUGCAGUAAACCCAGGCUAGAUUCUGGCCAGUGCA
rnacentral:tRNA from 1 species